GAUGAACGCUGGCGGCGUGCCUAAUACAUGCAAGUCGAGCGAACGGACGAGAAGCUUGCUUUUCUGAUGUUAGCGGCGGACGGGUGAGUAACACGUGGAUAACCUACCUAUAAGACUGGGAUAACUUCGGGAAACCGGAGCUAAUACCGGAUAAUAUUUUGAACCGCAUGGUUCAAAAGUGAAAGACGGUCUUGCUGUCACUUAUAGAUGGAUCCGCGCUGCAUUAGCUAGUUGGUAAGGUAACGGCUUACCAAGGCAACGAUGCAUAGCCGACCUGAGAGGGUGAUCGGCCACACUGGAACUGAGACACGGUCCAGACUCCUACGGGAGGCAGCAGAAGGGAAUCUUCCGCAAUGGGCGAAAGCCUGACGGAACAACGCCGCGUGAGUGAUGAAAGUCUUCGGAUCGUAAAACUCUGUUAUGAGGGAAGAACAUAUGUGUAAGUAACUGUGCACAUCUUGACGGUACCUAAUCAGAAAGCCACGGCUAACUACGUG
rnacentral:rRNA from 1 species